rnacentral:lncRNA from 10 species
CUUAGAGGGGAGCACAUCUUAAAUAAGGAAGGACUUGCCAGCUCCUGUGUAAGGAAGUCAAGAUUUUCUCAAGGGAAAAAUCACCCUAGAAACCAUCAACUCAUGACAAACGUGAUCUCCAACGUUCAUUGUGGAAAAUAGCCUCAAGGAUGAGAUGAUGAGGAUUUUGAAGAUGGCGCCUACCUUCGGGGUGUGGAGGUAGAGACAGGAGAGAAGCUCAGGAUGCUGCUCAGAACAACCCAUGGCUCAGACUUCCCACCUGCAAGAUGAGCAGACGGGCAGAAGGGUCCUCUCCUUGUCUGCCACCCGCAUGGCGUGCUGUGAGGAGCCUGUGAGAACCUGCCCAUCACCAUGAGAAGUGCAACACCAACCUCAGGUGGAAGGUUGUUUCUCUGGAGAAUCCUGAUUAAUACAUGAAGGGUCAAGAUAAGUCUACUCCAGGUGAAGUGCAAAAAAUGAACAAGGAGGCCCAAUGAUGCAUCUGCUUAACUUUUCAGUUGUCAAUGCAAAUUAAGCACAAAGAGGACAGAGUUGAUGACAUAUCAGGAACAUUUUUUACUUCCGGAGCAGGUCUGAGUCCCAGCGGAAGACUGAGGCCGACUGAGCCAGAGGCACCACUUCAAUAGGUCACUGGUCUCUGCAGGGAAAGGAAAAGGUGUAAGAGUUCUCCCUGCAUAGAUGCUAUUUGUGACUUGGAUGUUUUCUUUCUAAUACAAAUGCAUCAAAGUGUUCACAGGAAUCUAGCUAUAUGCAAGAAGUCUGGAUUAUCUGCCUGAGAGAACUGGCCAGUAUCUCACCCAUGAGCACCAGAACCCAUUUCUAGAUUACUAAGAAAGGAGCACAAGAACACUGUGUAUAAGGCUCUGUGUUCCUAGAACUUUCUAAAUUUUACUUAAUGCAGGUUAACUUCAUCAACCCUGGUGAAAAUGCCACCUCCUCAUGAGGAAGCCUUCCCCAUUUGCUCUGUCUCAGAGACACUUGACUCCAUGGACUUCUCUGCAAUUCUGUUCUGUGUAGGACUGCCUAGUGCCUAGCCUUCUUGUGAUGUUCCUUGCUUAUGUCUUGUCUCCCCAUUUGAUUUGGAGGGUCCUGGGCAGGGACCACUGGGCUGGGCUCUAGUAGGCCCCCUGUAAAGACCUGUUGAGUAAUUAGAAGAGACAGUGGCCCCAUCUGGGUGAAUCCUGAAUUUAAUCAAUUUCCUGGAUCCUUGUUUAUUUUGCAAGUAGGAUAAGAAUGUCAUUGAAAUCCUAUCAUGUAGUCAUGGAAGGGCUAAUACAGUCAGUGUACUGCUACUCACUAAGCAUGCUGUUUAGCUCAGCGGUUUUUUGUUUUGUUUUGAUAACAAGACUGUCUCGAUGAAAGAAGCAGGGCGUUGUUUAAUAUUCUAAUGCAGGCUCCUUAUUUCACGACAUACUGGUAGUUACACUUGGAGUCGCAGUGAAAUAAAACAUCUAGGCCAGCGCCGUGGCUCACGUCUGUAAUCCCAGCACUUUCGGAGGCUGAGGCAGGUGGAUCACUUGAGGUCAGGAGUUUGAACCAGUUUGGCCAACAUGGUGAAACCCUGUCUUUACUAAAAAUACAAAAAUUAGCCUGGCGUGGUGAUGCAUGCCUGUAGUCCCAGGUACCUGCGAGGCUGAGGCAGGAGAAUCGCUUGAACCUGGAAGGUGGAGAUUGCAGUGAGCCAAGAUGGCACCACUGCACUCCAGCCUGGGUGACAGAGCAAGACUCUGUCUCAAAAAAAUUAAAGAAAAUAGAAAUAAAACAUAUAGCCUCACCCUCUUCAUUUGACAGAUGUGGGCUUUGAGGCUGAUAGAGAGGUAACUUGUCCAUGAUUAGACAGCAAGAAAUAGAGCUGCAGUUGGUACCAGGGCCUCAUAACACUGGGUCUAUAAUCACAAUGAAGCACCACCAGUGUCAAUGCAUGUAAAUUUCACACCCCUUAUCACACUGCAUCUACAAAGUAGUGCUGAGAACUGGGCAUGGCAGGCAUUAGUCUCUCCACGAGGAAACAGGCUCAGAGACUCUGAAGAUCCGUCCAAAUGCAUAGAGUGGGGAAGCAGUGAAAAGACGACGUUAGGACAUCCCAGCCCUGCCCACGUUCAGAGUUUGUUCCAACACAUUAGUCUUCAGAUGAGCUCACUAUUUUAGUCCUGCGUGCUCCAGCAAUGGCCUGAGAGGUGUGGGUACGUGCUGAAUGUCCAGGCCUUGUUAAAGAUAACUGCAGUACGGGCCAGGCGUGGUGGCUCGCGCCUGUAAUCCCAGCACUUUGGGAGGCCGAGGAGGAUGGAUCACGAGGUCAGGAGUU